rnacentral:rRNA from 2 species
UUCCUACGGGGGGCUGCAGUGGGGAAUAUUGGGCAAUGGGCGAAAGCCUGACCCAGCAACGCCGCGUGAAGGAAGAAGGUUUUCGGAUUGUAAACUUCUGUCCUCAGGGAAGAAGGAAGUGACGGUACCUGAGGAGGAAGCCCCGGCUAACUACGUGCCAGCAGCCGCGGUAAUACGUAGGGGGCGAGCGUUGUCCGGAAUGACUGGGCGUAAAGGGCGCGUAGACGGUUUUUUAAGUCUGGAGUGAAAGUCCUGCUUUCAAGGUGGGAAUUGCUUUGGAGACUGGAAGGCUUGAGUGCGGAAGAGGUAAGUGGAAUUCCCAGUGUAGCGGUGAAAUGCGUAGAGAUUGGGAAGAACACCAGUGGCGAAGGCGACUUACUGGGCCGUAACUGACGUUGAUGCGCGAAAGCGUGGGGAGCGAACAGGAUUAGAUACCCGGGUAGUCGG